UACGGGGGGAGCAAGCGUUGUCCGGAAUCAUUGGGCGUAAAGAGCGUGUAGGCGGCCAGAUAAGUCCGCUGUGAAAUCUCGAGGCUCAACUUCGAGCUGUCGGUGGAAACUGUCUGGCUAGAGUCCGGAAGAGGAGAAUGGAAUUCCUGGUGUAGCGGUGAAAUGCGCAGAUAUCAGGAAGAACACCCGUGGCGAAGGCGGUUCUCUGGGACGGUACUGACGCUGAGACGCGAAAGCGUGGGGAGCGAACAGG
rnacentral:rRNA from 1 species